rnacentral:rRNA from 1 species
AUCCAGUUGCCAUCGGGCGAGCCGGGCGACUCUGGAGGGACUGCCGGCGACAAGCCGGAGGAAGGUGGGGAUGACGUCAAGUCAUCAUGGCCCUUAUGUCCAGGGCGACACACGUGCUACAAUGGCCGGCACAGCGGGAAGCGGAGGGGCGACCCUGAGCGGAUACCCUUGAAAGCCGGUCCCAGUUCGGAUUGCAGUCUGCAACUCGACUGCAUGAAGUUGGAAUCGCUAGUAAUCGCGGAUCAGCCAAGCCGCGGUGAAUACGUUCCCGGGCCUU